UAUACAUAUAUCCUUUUUAACCAGUUAACUGCGUUUGACGAAUACAUUCGUCACGAGGAAAUGGCAAUAUACUGUGUUAUGACGAGUAUACUCGUCAAAAAUUGCUAACUGGUUCAGAACGAAGAAGUUCUAAUCAACGCAGUUAUACAAGAAAUCGUAGCAUAAGUGGUUAAAAUGCAGCUAUGCAUUUCUCGUGGACGUGACUCGUCUGGAGAAAAUAUUUCAACGAAUUCAAAAUUGAAAAAACUGGAGCUAAAUUCGUAAAACGUUUUCCGAAAACGCUAUUUUGCCAUCGGCGAAUAUCCGGACUGUUUUGACAAACAGUUUUAUGAGAGACACAUACGUUUUGAUAGCGAAUGUAAUGGACACCUCCCGAGUUCGUUCUGUCGGUGUUUCGUAGCGCUGGUGGCAAAGGAAAGCGUGCGGUAAUCCUGUUUACGGAUCGGGCACAUAAACUGCAAUAGUGCAUGGUCGCAUAGUGCGUACGUGUUCGCCGCGACCGCGACGUGUGAAGAAAAAAUACUGAACGAAAAUAAACGCAUAAAGAAUACGAUGCAAAGAUAAAUUAGUCGUUUAAUCGACUGGAUAGAGCGGUUCUGUGAAUUAUGGAAAAGCGAAGUUUGGCGAAAAGGUCGGUUAAGGACGGAACAGGUAGUUGCGAAAAUGUGUGCAUCUGUUGGCG